rnacentral:rRNA from 1 species
AACGAACGCUGGCGGCAUGCCUAACACAUGCAAGUCGAACGAGACCUUCGGGUCUAGUGGCGCACGGGUGCGUAACGCGUGGGAACCUGCCCUUAGGUUCGGAAUAACUCCCCGAAAGGGGUGCUAAUACCGGAUAAUGUCUUCGGACCAAAGAUUUAUCGCCUUUGGAUGGGCCCGCGUUGGAUUAGCUAGUUGGUAGGGUAAAAGCCUACCAAGGCGACGAUCCAUAGCUGGUCUGAGAGGAUGAUCAGCCACACUGGGACUGAGACACGGCCCAGACUCCUACGGGAGGCAGCAGUGGGGAAUAUUGGACGAUGGGCGAAAGCCUGAUCCAGCAAUGCCGCGUAAGUGAUGAAGGCCUUAGGGUUGUAAAGCUCUUUUACCCGAGGUGAUAAUGACGGUACCGGGAGAAUAAGCUCCGGCUAACUCCGUG